rnacentral:rRNA from 1 species
UACGUAGGGUGCGAGCGUUGUCCGGAAUUAUUGGGCGUAAAGAGCUCGUAGGCGGUCUGUCGCGUCUGCUGUGAAAACCCGAGGCUCAACCUCGGGCCUGCAGUGGGUACGGGCAGACUAGAGUGCGGUAGGGGAGAUUGGAAUUCCUGGUGUAGCGGUGGAAUGCGCAGAUAUCAGGAGGAACACCGAUGGCGAAGGCAGAUCUCUGGGCCGUAACUGACGUGAGGAGCGAAAGCGUGGGGGAGCGAACAGG